GCCCAGAUACACAGUUUUGUGGGUACAGUAUCCCUCAUCCAUCUGAGGAAAAGAUUAAUUUUAGAAUACAAACAUAUGGAAAGCCAUCAAUAGAUGUUUUAAGAAAAGGACUUAAGGAUCUAAACACUGUAUGUGAACAUGUUCUAAGAACAUUUGAGACAAGCAUAAAUGAACACAAAAGGAGAAACCAGUCAGAUAUUGAAGCUAUGGACCAGU